AAUUUAAGGGAACAAACUGAGCUAUG
rnacentral:piRNA from 1 species